AUGGAAGAUAAAGGUUCUUACAAUUUAAUUGUAGAUAAAAGACAUGAGCAAUUGAAACAAUACUCUAGUGACAUUAGAUAUUUAUUAUACGAGUUAAAAGAUUUAAUAAAAGUGCAUGAGAUUUUAAUGUAUAAAGAUAAACUGAAAAUUGCAGAUAAAGGGAAAAUCAAAAGACAACAAGAUGAAAUGGACAUUUUAAAAAAUGAUCUAGAAGUAAUAAAAAAAGAAAAUGACAAAAUGCAAGGACAAUUAAAAUAUUACAAAAAAGUUGAUGACUCAGUUAAUAAACAAAUAAAUUACAUAUCGGAAAAUAUUAGAAAGCUGAAAUUAAAUAUAAGCCGGGAACAGCAGAAGAAAGUGGAGUUACAAAAAAAUAUUAACGAAAUAAAAAAUAAAUAUAGUAAAUCAUUAAAAGAAAAGCAACUUUUGAAUGAAAGUUUUAUACAUCUAACUAAAAAUAACAAACUUACUAAGUUGGAAAAUAAUAUUAAUAUAGUAGUAGGUAGUGAACAUAAUAAGAAGAACUGUGUUAAAGUGAAUAAAGAAGAAGAAGCAAAAUAAAAAAAAAAAAAACUUAAACAAAGACAGUUCCGACGACUUAAGUACAAAAAACAAAUUCAAUGUACUUACAUAAGUAGUUAUGUAAUUAUAUUUUAUCAAAAGAUUAUAUAUGCAUAUAUACAUAUACAUAUAUAUCUAUGUAUGUAUGUUUUUUAGGUAAAACAUUUAUGUAAAAAAGUAGAAAAAGAAAAGGGAGUAUAUUGGGUUGUUUUACAAAAUUAAAUACCAUGAAUAAAAAAAAAAAUAGGAGAAAAAUAUGUUUAAAA
ensembl:lncRNA